UACGAAGGGGGCUAGCGUUGUUCGGAAUUACUGGGCGUAAAGCGCACGUAGGCGGAUAUUUAAGUCAGGGGUGAAAUCCCGGGGCUCAACCCCGGAACUGCCUUUGAUACUGGGGAUCUCGAGUCCGGGAGAGGUGAGUGGAACUGCGAGUGUAGAGGUGAAAUUCGUAGAUAUUCGCAAGAACACCAGUGGCGAAGGCGGCUCACUGGCCCGAUACUGACGCUGAGGCACGAAAGCGUGGGGGAGCAAACAGG
rnacentral:rRNA from 1 species